rnacentral:tRNA from 1 species
GGUUGUGGCUCAGUGGUAGAGCAUUUGCCUGUCAUGUUUGAGUUACUAGGUUCAAUUCUCAGCACCA